rnacentral:pre_miRNA from 1 species
UUGAUACUCCCUCCGAUCCUAAAUUGUUGUCGAAAUAUUACAUGUAUCUAGACACUUUUUAAGAAUAGAUACAUCCAUAUUUGGGCAAAUUUGAGACAAGAAUUUAGGAUCGGAGGGAGUACAUC